UUAGGUUAAGUGUGACAUUUAUUUAGGCUAUCUUCAGCGUCGCUAACUCCCCUCCUUCUUAGGAUAAAGCGUCCCCGCUACUGUGUUGCUAAUUGCUGUUAAUGUAGACGGUUCAUUUCGAUUUGAAAUAAGCCAUCGAUUUGCCUUUGUCUGUUGAGUAUUCUAACAUUUUGGCAAUAUUUGCAGAGGUGAACUAAACCGUAAAUGGUUGCUACGAAGGAAUUAAAAACUUUGAAAGUUCUUGUAUGUUUCUGAACUUGUAGCUUGAUUUUGAGGGAAGAAUACGGAGUACUUCGAGUUUUUCGCUUUGCUGUUUGGGAACGAUUUCUCUGAUUUGUUGUUGACACUUGGCGAGAUAUAGGCAUAUUAUUCCAAGAAUGCUGAUAAUCUGUCAAAAUGAGACCGUUUUCCAGGAUUUGUAGUGGAGCGUUAUUUCGUAAAUUGUUUCACAUUGUGCUGGAUUAUCAUUUAGUAUUUUGAAAGUGUAAUUAUCAGAGGAUUUUGACUU